AGAGUUUGAUCCUGGCUCAGGACGAACGCUGGCGGCGUGCCUAACACAUGCAAGUCGAACGGGGUGAGGCCCUUCGGGACCUUUACCUAGUGGCGAACGGGUGAGUAACGCGUGAGGAACCUGCCUUUCAGUGGGGGACAACAGUUGGAAACGACUGCUAAUACCGCAUGAAGCUUUUGGGAGACAUCUCCUGGAAGCCAAAGCUUAAUGUGCUGAAAGAUGGCCUCGCGUCUGAUUAGCUAGUUGGUGGGGUAACGGCCCACCAAGGCGACGAUCAGUAGCCGGUCUGAGAGGAUGAACGGCCACAUUGGGACUGAGAUACGGCCCAGACUCCUACGGGAGGCAGCAGUGGGGAAUAUUGGGCAAUGGGCGAAAGCCUGACCCAGCAACGCCGCGUGAAGGAAGAAGGCCUUCGGGUUGUAAACUUCUUUUACCAGGGACGAAGGACGUGACGGUACCUGGAGAAAAAGCAACGGCUAACUACGUGCCAGCAGCCGCGGUAAUACGUAGGUUGCAAGCGUUGUCCGGAUUUACUGGGUGUAAAGGGCGUGUAGGCGGAGAUGCAAGUUAGGAGUGAAAUCUAUGGCUCAACCCAUAAACUGCUUCUAAAACUGUAUCCCUUGAGUAUCGGAGAGGCAAGCGGAAUUCCUAGUGUAGCGGUGAAAUGCGUAGAUAUUAGGAGGAACACCAGUGGCGAAGGCGGCUUGCUGGACGACAACUGACGCUGAGGCGCGAAAGCGUGGGGAGCAAACAGGAUUAGAUACCCUGGUAGUCCACGCUGUAAACGAUGAAUACUAGGUGUGGGGGGACUGACCCCCUCCGUGCCGCAGUUAACACAAUAAGUAUUCCACCUGGGGAGUACGACCGCAAGGUUGAAACUCAAAGGAAUUGACGGGGGCCCGCACAAGCAGUGGAUUAUGUGGUUUAAUUCGACGCAACGCGAAGAACCUUACCAGGACUUGACAUCCAACUAACGAAGUAGAGAUACAUCAGGUGCCCUUCGGGGAAAGUUGAGACAGGUGGUGCAUGGUUGUCGUCAGCUCGUGUCGUGAGAUGUUGGGUUAAGUCCCGCAACGAGCGCAACCCCUAUUGUUAGUUGCUACGAAAGAGCACUCUAGCGAGACUGCCGUUGACAAAACGGAGGAAGGCGGGGACGACGUCAAAUCAUCAUGCCCCUUAUGUCCUGGGCUACACACGUAAUACAAUGGUGGCCAACAGAGGGAAGCGAAGCCGUGAGGCAGAGCAAAUCCCUAAAAGCCAUCUCAGUUCGGAUUGCAGGCUGCAACUCGCCUGCAUGAAGCUGGAAUUGCUAGUAAUCGCGGAUCAGCAUGCCGCGGUGAAUACGUUCCCGGGCCUUGUACACACCGCCCGUCACACCAUGAGAGCCGGGAACACCCGAGGUCCGUAGUCUAACCGCAAGGGGGGCGCGGCCAAAGGUGGGUCCGGUAAUUGGGGUGAAGUCGUAACAAGGUA
rnacentral:rRNA from 1 species